CAUGCUGUAAACGUUGGGCACUAGGUGUGGGGGCCUUUCCGGGUUUCUGCGUCGUAGCUAACGCUUUAAGUGCCCCGCCUGGGGAGUACGGCCGCAAGGCUAAAACUCAAAGGAAUUGACGGGGGCCCGCACAAGCGGCGGAGCAUGCGGAUUAAUUCGAUGCAACGCGAAGAACCUUACCAAGGCUUGACAUACGCCGGGAUCAUGCAGAGAUGUGUGAGUCUGUGGACUGGUGUACAGGUGG
rnacentral:rRNA from 1 species